AUGAACGCUGGCGGCGUGCCUAAUACAUGCCAGUCGCGCGAACAGACGAGGAGCUUGCUCCUCUGACGUUAGCGGCGGACGGGUGAGUAACACGUGGAUAACCUACCUAUAAGACUGGGAUAACUUCGGGAAACCGGAGCUAAUACCGGAUAAUAUAUUGAACCGCAUGGUUCAAUAGUGAAAGACGGUUUUGCUGUCACUUAUAGAUGGAUCCGCGCCGCAUUAGCUAGUUGGUAAGGUAACGGCUUACCAAGGCGACGAUGCGUAGCCGACCUGAGAGGGGGAUCGGCCACACUGGAACGGAGACACGGUCCAGACUCCUACGGGAGGCAGCAGUAGGGAAUCUUCCGCAAAGGGCGAAAGCCUGACGGAGCAACGCCGCGUGAGUGAUGAAGGUCUUCGGAUCGUAAAACUCUGUUAUUAGGGAAGAACAAAUGUGUAAGUAACUAUGCACGUCUUGACGGUACCUAAUCAGAAAGCCACGGCUAACUACGUG
rnacentral:rRNA from 1 species